rnacentral:rRNA from 1 species
AACGUAGGAGCCAAGCGUUAUCCGAAUUCACUGGGCGUAAAGCGUGUGCAGGCGGACGUGUAAGUUGGAUGUGAAAUCUCCUGGCUCAACUGGGAGAGGCCGUUCAAUACUGCGGGUCUCGAGGGCAACAGAGGGAGGUGGAAUUCCCGGUGUAGUGGUGAAAUGCGUAGAUAUCGGGAGGAACACCAGUGGCGAAAGCGGCCUCCUGGGUUGCACCUGACGCUCAGACACGAAAGCUAGGGGAGCGAACGGG